rnacentral:rRNA from 1 species
UACGUAGGGUGCAAGCGUUGUCCGGAAUUAUUGGGCGUAAAGAGCUCGUAGGCGGUCUGUUGCGUCGGCUGUGAAAACCCGGGGCUCAACCCCGGGCCUGCAGCCGAUACGGGCAGACUAGAGUUCGGCAGGGGAGACUGGAAUUCCUGGUGUAGCGGUGAAAUGCGUAGAGAUGUGGAGGAACACCAAUGGCGAAGGCAGCCUUCUGGGCCAACACUGACGCUCAUGCACGAAAGCGUGGGGAGCAAACAGG